rnacentral:tRNA from 1 species
GUGGACAUAGCUCAGCUGGUUAGAGCGCCGGAUUGUGGUUCCGGAGGUCGUGGGUUCGAGCCCCACUUUCCACCC